CCCAGUGAGGCCUCUUGCAGGGAGGUGGGAGGAAAAGAGGGGGCCUCUGAGGCCUUCUUGUCACCCUCCUGAAGCUGAAAGGUGCUGGCGAGAAACUGAAGAUUGACCAUGAGAAAGAAGGUGGAGAAACAGCUGCUGCCCGAGAGGCACAAGUAGCAGGCGGUCUGCAGGAUCCGGCCUUCCCAGGAGGACUCGCCCCAGCCCUGGGAUCCACGGCCUCCGCCCCACCUGUCCUCGUCUCUCUCCCCGCCCAUGCUCCUGGGUUGCUCCCCCCAGCUCCCUGUGGCCUGACCCUGCCCACUUGAUAUGGCCUCCUCUUGUGCUCACAGGCUGUGGUCCCAGGAGGUGAGCAGGCCAAGUGCCGGGUGGCCCUGUCACAGGGGGUGCAGGGCAGCAGAGGAACAGAGGGGACAAUGGGACAAUGAGCCUGAGCCUCUGUCCCCUGCACAGGCCUGGCACCCCUGGGAUGUAACUGGCAAGAUGCCCCCUCUCCAUCCCCGGCGGCCCUGGCCCCUGGUGGUCAUGCAGUAUGGCCAAGGGCUGUUUCACUCCUGUCGCACUUCGGGCUGUGUCCCCCAUCUUGUUCCGGGUCCUUGGUCUGGCGUCACCUGCUGGGCCCUCUUCCCU
rnacentral:lncRNA from 1 species